rnacentral:rRNA from 1 species
AUUGAACGCUGGCGGCAUGCCUUACACAUGCAAGUCGAACGGUAACAGGUCUUCGGAUGCUGACGAGUGGCGAACGGGUGAGUAAUACAUCGGAAAGUGCCCGAUCGUGGGGGAUAACGAGGCGAAAGCUUUGCUAAUACCGCAUACGAUCUACGGAUGAAAGCGGGGGAUCUUCGGACCUCGCGCGGACGGAGCGGCCGAUGGCGGAUGAGGUAGUUGGUGGGAUAAAAGCUUAGCAAGCCGACGAUCUGUAGCUGGAGUGAGAGGAUGAGCAGCCACACUGGGACUGAGACACGGCCCAGACUCCUACGGGAGGCAGCAGUGGGGAAUUUUAGACAAUGGGCGAAAGCCUGAUCCAGUCAGGCCGCGUGCAGGAUGAAGGCCUUUGGGUUGUAAACUGCUUUUUUACGGAACGAAAAGCCUCUUUCUAUUAAAGAGGGGUCAUGACGGUACCGUAAGAAUAAGCACCGGCUAACUACGUG